CUCAGAGGGAGUAAUGAUCACUGAAAUGCUUGAAGACAAGCUGAAGCUUGCAAAGAACAUUCUCUGGAAAUGUUGUCAUUUAAAAUACAACCAUCAUACUUACUGGAGGAUCUGCUUCAGAGGAUGAGUCCCACCGAGACGCAUAGCGAAUCCCACCCACCCGUGGGCCCUAUUAAUCCCAGGGAGAAAACGCGCAGCCACCUCCAUGGAUGAGUAGACGAUUUUUCCUAGUUCUGAAGAACCUCCCGGCGGUUGUCCGUUUUUCAAUUCCACCGAGUUUUUCCUUCUUUAGUUCGGUUGGAGUUUCCGUGUUCAAGCAGAAGUUAUGGGUGGCAUCCGCCAAGAAAGAGGAGGAUUUCCUGGUUCAUGGACACUAUAUAGGGGCUCUAGAGGGGAGGGCCU